UGGGGAAUAUUGGACAAUGGGCGAAAGCCUGAUCCAGCAAUGCCGCGUGAGUGAUGAAGGCCUUAGGGUUGUAAAACUCUUUCGGCGGGGACGAUAAUGACGGUACCCGCAGAAGAAGCUCCGGCUAACUUCGUGCCAGCAGCCGCGGUAAUACGUAGGUGGCGAGCGUUGUCCGGAUUUACUGGGCGUAAAGAGCGCGCAGGCGGUCGUCCAAGUCGCGUGUGAAAGCCCCCGGCUCAACUGGGGAGGGUCACGCGAUACUGAUCGACUCGAAGGCAGGAGAGGGUAGUGGAAUUCCCGGUGUAGUGGUGAAAUGCGUAGAUAUCGGGAGGAACACCAGUGGCGAAGGCGACUACCUGGCCUGUUCUUGACGCUGAGGCGCGAAAGCUAGGGGAGCAAA
rnacentral:rRNA from 1 species